AUGAAGGAGCCUUCCAAAGCAUUUCACCAGUAUAGCAACAACAUCUCCACCUUGGAUGUACACUGUCUCCCUCAGUUCCAGGAGAAAGUCUCCCCUCCUGCAUCACCUCCUAUAACCUUCCCUCCAGCCUUUGAAGCCGCCAAAGUAGAGUCCAAGCCUGACGAGCUCAAGGUGACAGUCAAAUUAAAGCCUCGGCUGAGGACGGUGCCUGUCGGGCUGGAGGAUUGUAGACCACUGAAUAAAAAGUGGAGAGGGAUGAAGUGGAAGAAAUGGAGCAUUCAUAUUGUCAUCCCCAAGGGGACCUUUAAACCGCCCUGUGAGGAUGAGAUAGAUGAAUUUCUAAAGAAAUUGGGCACUUCCCUUAAACCUGACCCUGUCCCCAAAGACUAUCGCAAGUGUUGCUUUUGUCACGAAGAAGGUGAUGGGCUAACAGAUGGGCCAGCAAGGCUGCUCAACCUGGACCUGGACCUCUGGGUCCACUUGAAUUGUGCUCUGUGGUCCACAGAGGUCUAUGAGACACAGGCUGGUGCCUUAAUAAAUGUGGAGCUAGCGCUGAGGAGAGGUCUACAAAUGAAAUGUGUCUUCUGUCAUAAGACAGGUGCCACCAGUGGAUGUCACAGAUUUCGAUGUACCAAUAUUUAUCAUUUUACUUGCGCCACUAAAGCACAAUGCAUGUUUUUUAAAGACAAAACAAUGCUUUGCCCCAUGCACAAACCAAAGGGAAUCCAUGAGCAAGAAUUGAGUUACUUUGCAGUCUUCAGGAGGGUCUAUGUGCAACGAGAUGAGCUGCUUCCACAACAGAUGCAAGCAUUCCACUCUUCGAAAGCGCUCUUCCCCGUGGGCUAUGAGGCCAGCCGGUUAUACUGGAGUACUCGCUACGCCAACCGUCGAUGCCGGUACCUGUGUUCCAUUGAGGAGAAAGACGGGCGGCCCGUGUUUGUCAUCAGGAUUGUAGAGCAAGGCCAUGAGGACCUGGUCUUAAGUGAUUCAUCACCUAAAGAUGUUUGGGAUAAAAUUUUGGAGCCUGUGGCAUGUGUAAGAAAAAAGUCGGAAAUGCUGCAGCUUUUCCCCGCGUAUUUGAAAGGAGAAGACCUGUUUGGCCUGACUGUCUCUGCGGUGGCACGGAUAGCUGAGUCACUACCUGGGGUUGAGGCAUGUGAAAACUACACCUUCCGGUAUGGCCGCAAUCCUCUCAUGGAACUUCCUCUUGCCGUUAACCCCACAGGCUGUGCCCGUGCGGAACCUAAAAUGAGCGCCCAUGUGAAGAGGUUUGUGUUAAGGCCUCACACCUUGAAUAGCACCAGCACUUCAAAGUCGUUUCAGAGCACAGUCACUGGAGAGCUGAACGCACCGUACAGUAAGCAGUUUGUCCACUCCAAGUCAUCACAGUACCGCAGAAUGAAGACUGAAUGGAAAUCUAAUGUGUAUCUGGCCCGGUCUCGGAUCCAGGUAAGGAAUGAAGCAGAGUUAGGUCUCAAGCAGCGGAUGCCCAGGAGGAAGAGCUGCCGCACAUUGCGGGUAGAGAUAGAAUCUGCUUGCUUGUUUGUGUGUGUGUGUUUGUUUUUGUGGAACUGUGAUUUGAACUUAGCAUCUUGUAUGUCUUAGCAAGUGCUUUACCACUGAGCUAAUCCCAACCCUAGACUCACGCUGUGAGAGCUGUGUUCCACCUUGUCGGCUUUUAACAUGAGGACUCGGGCUUGUAGCCGUAGAACUUGGUGCUGGACGUCAAGUAGAAAGUAGGCCUUGUGAAUCCACAUCUUUAUAUCUUGUUCGAGGCUGUGGAGAAACAGGUUGCACUGGAUUCUGCAUGCACUGAGUUUUGAACAGCUCAGGAGAAUGCUCACCAGCACACGGGAAAAGUAAAUGGAGGCCAGCACUGGAAGGCGGAGUCAGGCAGGUCAGAUCAGGGUGCUGUGUCUUCAGCGACACUGGAUGGAUUCAUGUGACAUUGCGGAUUUGGAAGCUAUAUCUUUGUAGCACUGGCUUUUUGUGAAACAUUGCACAUUCCUUGUAGACAGUACCAGGAGUAGGGCUGCCCACUGACAGAGUAUCUUAACAUUGAAUCCGUAGUCUUCGGUUGUGGUCUCAUUGUUGAUGUGUAACACAGAGUGGAACUGCAAAGCUCCUACUUUGUCAAAUUCUGCAGUCCCCAAACUGUGUGCCUAUCUGUGCCUAAGCCGAUCUCAGUAUUCCCAGAUCCACCCCGCCACAAAAUGCUGUUACUUCUCCUCAUCGUUCUCCGAGUUCCAGCCUCUUCCUGGAAACCAGUUUCUAUGUUCAGUAGAGAGCUCUUUCAAGUUUAUUGCAAGCACUAGUUUUAAGAAUCUUCUUGUUCUUAGACACUUUGCAAAUGUGCCUAGCAUAAGGCUGUCUUUACCACCUUCUCUCUUGCUGAAUCCUUUUAGUCUGGAGCACUGUGACCUUUAGGCUAAGCAUCAGCUGUCAAUAAACAAGCUGAUGGCCAAUGAGCUGAGGCAGGAAAUAGUUGGUGGGAUGGCAGGAAGGGAGUGGAUUCUGGCAAACAGUGAUCGAAUAAAAGGAGAUGCAUGGAGAGAUUUGAGUGAGACCCUGGGGGGAAACACCGAGGAAGAAGCGGAUUGGGACUGAAGGAGAGGUAACUGUAGACAUAGACUAGUUUGAAUCGGUUAAGUAAGUUACAACAGCUAGGUGUGCAAUGAGCCAAGGCUUGUGGACAAGGCAUUUAUUUAUAAAUAGUCUCAGAGACGACAUUCCCGGGAGCAGGAUUUUUUUUUAAACAACUGACUAUAUGUGUAAGUCUCAGCAGUGAGUUCUGAGACUGACAGACCCAGCUCUGGAGGGGUUCAGCCAGUACCUUGACCUGAUGGGAGCUGCCGCCGCCUUGCUUCCUAUCCUACUUCUGAUUUUGGUUUCCUUGUUUUGCUCUUCUGAAAUGCCUUCUACUUUUUACCUGCUGAUCUUUCUUAGACAUUUUAACAACCAGCUGUGAGCUC
rnacentral:lncRNA from 14 species